UCCAGAGAGCUAGGUCUUCGCAUAAUGUGUCUGAAGUAGGAUAAUUUGAGCCUGGUCAUUUGUGCCUCGAGUGAGAACUAUGCAUUGAUUUGUUUGAGGAUCCAUUGAAUUGGAAGGAAUACUACACCAAAAUUUGUUGAAGAUUUUGUUAACACUGUCUACAGUGACUCACUUAUAAAAAGUACCACUUCAUGAAGGAUUCCAUUGUGGUAUUACAACCAUUAUCAUCAUCCCCCGUGACCUGGCUGAAGUAGAUUUUUAUACUGGAAAUAUCACACCUACAGUGCAUGUACCUUUUCUCACCUUUCUCUUUGGUUUCCUACCUCAACAUUGGCAUAGCAGCUCAGAAGAGAAGAUCAGAAGCAGCUACCAAGGUAAGCACCUGAAGAGAGAAAUUGGGUUCUGUGAAUGCCCAGAGGACCACUCAAAUUAGUUACAAGUAAAGAACCUGUCCUACUUUACACAUAUGGCUAAAUAGUGUUUACUUACUGGAAGUAAGCUAGUGGAAUAUAAAUGAAAGUACCACUUGGAAAAACAGUGCAUCAGCUCGGGCUCAAACAUUGAGGCAGUCAUACUGGAUGAAUGAAGAUGGCUGAACAUCCCCCUCAAAGCAAAGGCUGAAAAGCGGCAUCCCUUGAGGGCAAAGAACUUCCUUGUGGAAGAAUUCAACAGCAUUUUAAAGAAAGCGACUGUCUCUUGUGGAAAAUCCUGCAUUGUAGCAGCUAUCCUAUGAGUCUUGAGUAUGGAAGGCACUUUGUGGUUGUUCCAUAUGAGAUCUGUCAUCUUGGGAAGGCUGAGGAAAUUGAUCUUUGAUAGUAGCAAGAAUGUCAAGUUUUGUGCCAUCACUUCUCAGUCUUUUGGCGAAGAUCAUGUGUUUGGUGGGCACUUCACAAGCCACCUCUUUACAUUGCUGUUUCAUCUGAGUGAAACACUGGCUCACAGAAUUGCGUGCAUCUCUGAUUUGCAUAUGAGAAGGUUUGAACUCAUGGAGUGGGAACUUCUGUACAAGCUUCCAUAAAAUUUUCAAAGCUUUAUUACAAGCACUUUAAUGCAGACUAAGAAAUAUAGAUGUAUAGAUCAGUUAGAGAAACCUCAUAGAUCAGUAGAAACAGCAAGGGUACUGCUGCAUUCUGUUGGCUUAUGAGUAAAAAAAAACAAGCUGUAUGUUCUCCAGAAGAGCUGUGCUAGACUUAAAUACUGCUAGACUUGGUUAGAAUUUUGCUGUUUCCUUAGGAGACUUUGCAGUCCUGUGUUGUUAUACAACACGAGCUUACAACAAUUGAAAUGUUUUUUCUUUUUAAAACAGAUGCAUCCAGUGCUCACCUAAAUAGGGCCCUUGCUCUCUCGCUCUUUUUCUCUCUCUAGAGAUCCAUCCAUCCAUCCAUCCAUCCAUCCAUCCAUCCAUCCAUCCAUCCAUCCAUCCAUCCAUCCAUCCAAUAUUUUGGGCAAUCAGCGUAUGCAAUCUCAGAACAACAACUGAGUGGAAAACUCAACCUUCCUUAUUCACUAGAUAUUGACAAAUGUUAUGAUGAGUUCACUGCCAAAAUAGAUGAACACACUUUGAUAUUAUUGCACCGCAGAAUAAUUAGGAUAAAGCAAAUUUAAUUCCAUUUCUGUACACAUUUAGUCAAGAGCCAGUUUGGUGUAGUGGUUAAGGCAUCAAGUUAGAAGCUGGGAGACUGUGAAUUCUAAUCCUGCCUUAGGCAUGAAGCCAAUUAGGUGACGUUGGGCGAGUCGCUCACUCUCAGCCCUAGGAAGCAGGCAAUGGCAAACCACUUUUGAAAUCUUGUGAAAACACACACACACACACACACACACACACACACAGGGACUUUCAGAAAAAGACAUACGAGUUCUGCAUAGGAACUCAACAGCCAACUAGUAAGUUACAUUCAUAUACAGGGGUGUUCUGAAAAACCUCUGCGUAUCCUUCUGCAGGGAUCCUACCACUUUUCCUGUCAGGGAGGCAAAUGAUUCUGCAGCUCCUUUAGUCCUUUUUAAGAUAAUGAUCAGCAAAUUAUCCAGUAGAAUGAUAAUUUGAAAGAAGCAAAAAAGGUAUUUAAUCUUGGAAGUUGUCAUAUUCAAAGAAAACAUUAAAUUAGCUAACACAGCUAUCUUCAACUUUGGUAAAAUUCAGAAUAAAAUUGAGAGACUUUAUUUUGAUAUGGAUAGUAAUUAAAUAUUGCCAAGAUUGAACUGACUUACUAGUUUCUACUUGAAUACAUCCAGUGAGGAGAUCCCCACUUGUAUGGAUAAAUAUCAAAGUUCUCUUAAUGUUAAGGAAAAAAAUCUUGUAUGUUCAAUUAUAAUCUGCCUCCCUAUAAUUUAAAAUGAUUAUAGAGUAUCUUGCCCUCUGGAAUGAUGGGGAACUGUUUUGAUCUUUUCCUGUAGGUCAGCCUUUCAGGUACAGUAUUUGAAGAAUAUUGUCAAAUCCCCCCACGCCCAGGUUUUCUUUUUGAAAGCUAAGCAUUCCUAAUUCCUAAAUCUUCUUUGUAAUAAGACCUAGUUUCUAAUCCCCUGAUCAUCCUCAUUUCCCUUUCCCGAAUCUGUUUAUCUAAAUAAUUUUUAAACUGUGGCACCUAAAACUGGAUGCAAUAGUCAAUAUGGGGUCUGACCUGUGUAAAAUAAAAAUGGACAUGUUGACUCCAGUAAUGAAUAAACUGUCUUCCUCGUGAUGCAGCCAUAAAUUACAAUUAGUUGAUGCAAACCACAUUGUAAACUGAGUUUGAAUAAGCAGUAUGAUCAGCUUGUUCUCAUACAAACAAGUAAAACAUUUCCUUGCAGGCCAACCAUCAAGGGAAAGCUUUGGGAAUUUCUAAAUUGGUUGACAUUUUUUCCCAUUGUUGAAAUACAUUUUCUGAGAGUAAUGUACAUUUUGUUAAGAUAUCUAAUGUACUCUCUGGCAUUUACAUGUUGCUUAACUACAGUGUUUAACAGUCCCAGAAGGCAUGGUGAUGGUAAAGGGCGCAGGGCACCAUAGUUCAGCAACUUCUGGAGACCAUAGCUUUCUUGGACCUAAAUAUAUAUUUUACAGUGAUUGUUUGUCCCAGCUAUGCAACUGUUUCCAACAGCAAAUAUCUGAAAUCAGAUGCAUUGUGGAGUCUCAGACUGGAGUGCUAUUACUAUGUCCACUAUCUAUAGAAAUGUAACUGCACAUAAAAUUUGCUGCAGCAGAUAUAAGCACAUGAUUGUGAUGUUGGAACAUCCCAAUUAUAGGAAAGCCAUGAAAUAUUGAUUUCAGUGGGUAUACUCCAAAUCUGAAUCUAACCCACUGGAUCGAUAAAAUAGAAAGUAACUUUUAAAUUAGAACAAUGACAAAUUCAGGUGUAUGAACUUCAGGCUUAUUGUAUCCCAGUGAACUGAACAUUACCCAUUCCACAAAGGACUCCUUGUAGAAUCACUCACACCUGAAGAGUAAGCAUUAGAGGCAAUACAGUUCAGAAGACAGAGAUUUACUGUAAAAUAUGUAUUUCAUAUCUGAUGCAGAUUUUUAUUUUCCCCUCCCAUUGCAUUUGGGCAAAUGGAAAAUUUUGGUUCAGGAGUAAUCACAGCCUUAUUCUUUUAUUAUUGUCAUUUAAUUUAUAAGUUGAUUCAGAGCUUACCAUUUACAAGAUCAUGCUGUUUCAGUAAUUUUUGUAAAAGUUAUUUUGUAUACUUCUUCAUACACUUUAUUAAAGUGCUUUUUAAUCUA